UACGUAGGGUGCAAGCGUUAAUCGGAAUUACUGGGCGUAAAGCGUGCGCAGGCGGUUAUGUAAGACAGGUGUGAAAUCCCCGGGCUUAACCUGGGAACUGCAUUUGUGACUGCAUAGCUAGAGUACGGUAGAGGGGGAUGGAAUUCCGCGUGUAGCAGUGAAAUGCGUAGAUAUGCGGAGGAACACCGAUGGCGAAGGCAAUCCCCUGGACCUGUACUGACGCUCAUGCACGAAAGCGUGGGGAGCAAACAGU
rnacentral:rRNA from 1 species